AGAGUUUGAUCAUGGCUCAGAACGUACGCUGGCGGCACGCCUAACACAUGCAAGUCGAACGCAGUAGCAAUACUGAGUGGCAAACGGGUGAGUAUAAUGUGGGAAUCUGCCUUUUGGUUUGGAAUAACACGGGGAAACUUGUGCUAAUACCAAAUAAGCCCUUACGGGGAAAGUUUUAAUGCCGAAAGAUGAGCCCGCACUUGAUUAGCUAGUUGGUAAGGUAAAAGCUUACCAAGGCAACGAUCAAUAGCUGUUCUUAGAGGAAGACCAGCCACAUUGGGACUGAGACACGGCCCAGACUCCUACGGGAGGCAGCAGUGGGGAAUCUUGCACAAUGGGGGAAACCCUGAUGCAGCGAUGCCGCGUGAGUGAAGAAGGCCUUUGGGUUGUAAAACUCUUUCGUCGGGGAAGAAAAUGACUGUACCCGAAUAAGAAGGUCCGGCUAACUUCGUGCCAGCCGCCGCGGUAAUAC
rnacentral:rRNA from 1 species